UACGUAGGGUGCAAGCGUUAAUCGGAAUUACUGGGCGUAAAGCGUGCGCAGGCGGUUUUGUAAGUCUGUCGUGAAAUCCCCGGGCUCAACCUGGGAAUUGCGAUGGAGACUGCAAGGCUAGAAUCUGGCAGAGGGGGUAGAAUUCCACGUGUGAGCAGUGAAAUGCGUAGAGAUGUGGAGGAACACCGAUGGCGAAGGCAGCCCCCUGGGUCAAGAUUGACGCUCCAUGACACGAAAGCGUGGGGAGCAAAC
rnacentral:rRNA from 1 species